rnacentral:rRNA from 1 species
GUACUUUGGGUAGCCUGGGAACUGGGUCUAAUACCGAAUAGGACCACGGCAUUCAUGGGCUGUGGUGGAAAGCUUUUGCGGUGUGGGAUGGGCCCGCGGCCUAUCAGCUUGUUGGUGGGGUAAUGGCCUACCAAGGCGACGACGGGUAGCCGGCCUGAGAGGGUGACCGGCCACACUGGGACUGAGAUACGGCCCAGACUCCUACGGGAGGCAGCAGUGGGGAAUAUUGCACAAUGGGCGCAAGCCUGAUGCAGCGACGCCGCGUGAGGGAUGACGGCCUUCGGGUUGUAAACCUCUUUCAGUACCGACGAAGCGCAAGUGACGGUAGGUACAGAAGAAGGACCGGCCAACUACGUGCCAGCAGCCGCGGUAAUACGUAGGGUCCGAGCGUUGUCCGGAAUUACUGGGCGUAAAGAGCUCGUAGGUGGUUUGUCGCGUUGUUCGUGAAAACUCACAGCUUAACUGUGGGCGUGCGGGCGAUACGGGCAGACUGGAGUACUGCAGGGGAGACUGGAAUUCCUGGUGUAGCGGUGGAAUGCGCAGAUAUCAGGAGGAACACCGGUGGCGAAGGCGGGUCUCUGGGCAGUAACUGACGCUGAGGAGCGAAAGCGUGGGGAGCGAACAGGAUUAGAUACCCUGGUAGUCCACGCCGUAAACGGUGGGUACUAGGUGUGGGUUUCCUUCCUUGGGAUCCGUGCCGUAGCUAACGCAUUAAGUACCCCGCCUGGGGAGUACGGCCGCAAGGCUAAAACUCAAAGGAAUUGACGGGGGCCCGCACAAGCGGCGGAGCAUGUGGAUUAAUUCGAUGCAACGCGAAGAACCUUACCUGGGUUUGACAUGCACAGGACGCCGGCAGAGAUGUCGGUUCCCUUGUGCCCU